UAUACGACCGUACCGCAAACCGACACUGGUGCGCGAGAUGAGUAUUCUAAGGCGCUUGAGAGAACUCAGGAGAAGGAACUCGGCAAAUUGACACCGUAACUUCGGAAGAAGGUGUGCCCUAUUAGUGUGUAGUGAACAACGAAGCAUGAAUGGGUUGCAAAAAAUCGGUGGCUGCGACUGUUUAUUAAAAACACAGCACUCUGCAAACACGAAAGUGGACGUAUAGGGUGUGACGCCUGCCCGGUGCUGGAAGAUUAAAUGAUGGGGUGCAAGCUCUUGAUUGAAGUCCCAGUAAACGGCGGCCGUAACAAUAACGGUCCUAAGGUAGCGAAAUUCCUUGUCGGGUAAGUUCCGACCUGCACGAAUGGCGUAACGAUGGCCACACUGUCUCCUCCUGAGACUCAGCGAAGUUGAAAUGUUUGUGAUGAUGCAAUCUCCCCGCGGAAAGACGGAAAGACCCCAUGAACCUUUACUGUAGCUUUGUAUUGGACUUUGAACAGAUCUGUGUAGGAUAGGUGGGAGGCUUUGAAGCAGGGUCGCUAGAUAUUGUGGAGCCAACGUUGAAAUACCACCCUGGUGUGUUUGAGGUUCUAACCUAGGUCCAUUAUCUGGAUCGGGGACAGUGCAUGGUAGGCAGUUUGACUGGGGCGGUCUCCUCCCAAAGCGUAACGGAGGAGUUCGAAGGUACGCUAGUUACGGUCGGACAUCGUGACGAUAGUGCAAUGGCAUAAGCGUGCUUAACUGCGAGACUGACAAGUCGAGCAGAUGCGAAAGCAGGACAUAGUGAUCCGGUGGUUCUGUAUGGAAGGGCCAUCGCUCAACGGAUAAAAGGUACUCUGGGGAUAACAGGCUGAUACCGCCCAAGAGUUCAUAUCGACGGCGGUGUUUGGCACCUCGAUGUCGGCUCAUCUCAUCCUGGGGCUGUAGCCGGUCCCAAGGGUAUGGCUGUUCGCCAUUUAAAGAGGUACGUGAGCUGGGUUUAAAACGUCGUGAGACAGUUUGGUCCCUAUCUUCCGUGGGCGCUGCAGAUUUGAGGAAGCCUGCUCCUAGUACGAGAGGACCGGAGUGGACACACCUCUGGUGUAUCGGUUGUCACGCCAGUGGCAUUGCCGAGUAGCUAAGUGUGGAAGAGAUAACCGCUGAAAGCAUCUAAGCGGGAAACUCGUUUCAAGAUGAGAUCUGCCGGGGCCUUGAGCCCCCUAAAGAGUCGUUCAAGACCAGGACGUUGAUAGGUCAGGUGUGGAAGC
rnacentral:rRNA from 1 species